UUUGAAAUAAUUCAAGUUCUGCCAUGCCUCUAUGGCUCUUUUUCUGUGUUUAUUAUUUCGGAAAUUAUUAAGUGGAAAUUGACUUUCUAGUAUAUUUAUGAAUUUACUGCUAAUGUAGUAAAGUUGCCUUCUAAGAAGAGCUGAGUUGGUGG